AUUGAACGCUGGCGGCACGCCUUACACAUGCAAGUCGAACGGCAGCACGGGUGCUUGCACCUGGUGGCGAGUGGCGAACGGGUGAGUAAUACAUCGGAACGUACCUUAUCGUGGGGGAUAACGCAGCGAAAGCUGUGCUAAUACCGCAUACGCCCUGAGGGGGAAAGCGGGGGAUCGAAAGACCUCGCGCGAUUAGAGCGGCCGAUGCCUGAUUAGCUUGUUGGUGGGGUAAAAGCCCACCAAGGCGACGAUCAGUAGCUGGUCUGAGAGGACGAUCAGCCACACUGGGACCGAGACACGGCCCAGACUCCUACGGGAGGCAGCAGUGGGGAAUUUUGGACAAUGGGGGCAACCCUGAUCCAGCAAUGCCGCGUGAGUGAAGAAGGCCUUCGGGUUGUAAAGCUCUUUUGUCAGGGAAGAAACACCGGCUCUAACACAGUCCGGGAAUGACGGUACCUGAAGAAUAAGCACCGGCUAACUACGUGCCAGCCGCCGCAGUAA
rnacentral:rRNA from 1 species